GACUCGCCCCGUGCCCGCCCCGCGCGCGGCCCAAUCCCGUGGCUCCCGGCCCGGGGGCUGCGCGCCGAUGAUGUCAGCUGCGGCCAAUCGCGAGCGGCGACACACAGCGGCCCCGCCUGGCGUGACCGAGACUCUCCAUCACGGCCCGCACCAUUGGUUCAAUUCGAACUCUGCUCGUUCUGAUUGGAGAGUGGCCUCGCAGGCUAUUUUUAGCAGGGUAUAUAAGGCGCGGUCGGCCGCGCGCCGGAGGAGUCCGCGCUGUGAGGUGCGCGGCCGAGUGCUGUGCUGCGCCCGCGGCCGGGGCUGAGGGAUCCGGGGCUGGGAGAGCCCGGGCGGGCCGCGUUGCUCGUCCCCAGUCCCAGUCCCCCUUCCCUGCUGCCCGGUCCCGCCACCCCGCGCCCGUCCCGGUCACCAAGCCGGGCCCCGUCGCCGCGCGAGCCCCGUUCCGGCAGCACACCCAGCGUGCGGCCGCCCGGUCCUGCUUCUCUAGGCCGUCAGGUGCUUCCUCCUCCUGCUCCUCGCUGAAGAUCCUUGCGCUCUUUUCACUCGCGCAGUCAUGGAGAGAACACAGUCAACUCCAUUUCUUGGGCGUGACCCUCGUUCUCUGCUCACCUUGAGCCGCUCCAGUCUCUGCCACUGUCUUCAAAAGCAGUUUUCAGCAGCAGAGGCAUUGUUCUGGAGUAGCCCGUGACUGUAAACAGAUUCUCAGUAUUCAACAGGCAAAUCGUCUUGGGUGUAUACCGGAAAAUUUAAGUGUUUUAAGCACUUGUCCUAAGAUACGUUUUUUAGAUUAUCAGUUUGCACUGUGUAGAUGUCAAGGCUUAACGGACAAAGACAAACUUCAGCCCAGCCCUGGUCAUAAUGAACAAAAUUUCUGAAGUUAAUAAAAUCCUUAAAAGGUACAUUAUAAUGUGUUCAAAAAAAUCCGUUUUUAGUUAAUAGCAAUAAUACUACUCUUCAGUGUUAUAAAAAGUUCUACAGUCAGAUUCAAACACUAGAAUCUAUGUCCUUCAAAACAUUAAACAUGUAUUUACUUUCAUUGAAAAUACUCAUUUGAUUUUAUUAUAUUUGUGAAAACAUAUUUUGCAGUAUUUACAUAUUGACGUAUUAACUGAGAAAUUAUCUCCUGGUUCCUCGAAAACAUUAAUUAAAAUCUCAAAGGCUUUAUCUCUAUUUUACAUGUUUCUCUGAAGAAAAUGUAUUAUUUAGAAAACAAACAGUGUUGCCAUGUGAUAGGUUUUUUUUCAAAUGAGACAACACAACGGAAUAAAAUAUAUGAUCUGUAGCUGCUGAGGCUGAGUCAGUUCCUGUUUCAAUAACAAGAGUGUCAUCUGCUAAACUCUAACCAGC
rnacentral:lncRNA from 1 species